rnacentral:lncRNA from 1 species
GAGGUGAAGAAAGAUAGAAUACGCAAAGCUUCAGCUCAUGGGAAGUUACCCGGUUGGAACUUGAGCUCUGUAAGUUCUGUGUUUAUAUAUUAGUUUCCCUAGCUUUAGCAACCAAGGAUUGUUGUUAUGUACCCUAGCAAAUCAUGGAUGUUAAGGUUGGCUGUAUGGUUUACAAUCUCAUGUCAUCUUCAACUUGACAUUGGAAUCAAAAGCCAAAAGGCAUAUUGGGACUACAUUUGUACCCCUUAUUGGUAUUUCUUGAUCACUUGCUAGUGGUUAUGAUUGAUUUCACAUUCACCGACCA